UAAAAACCCCGACUUCGGAAGGGGUGUAUUUAUUAGAUACAAAACCAAUGCCCUUCGGGGCUCUUUGGUGAUUCAUGAUAACUAUACGAAUCGCACGGCCUUGCGCCGGCGAUGGUUCAUUCAAAUUUCUUCCCUAUCAACUUUCGAUGUUUGGGUAUUGGCCAAACAUGGUUGCAACGGGUAACGGAGGGUUAGGGCUCGACCCCGGAGAAGGAGCCUGAGAAACGGCUACUACAUCCAAGGAAGGCAGCAGGCGCGCAAAUUACCCAAUCCCGACUCGGGGAGGUAGUGACAAUAAAUACUGAUACAGGGCCCUUUCGGGCCUUGUAAUUGGAAUGAGUACAAUUUAAAUCCCUUAACGAGGAACAAUUGGAGGGCAAGUCUGGUGCCAGCAGCCGCGGUAAUUCCAGCUCCAAUAGCGUAUAUUAAAGUUGUUGUGGUUAAAAAGCUCGUAGUUGAACCUUGGGCCUGGCUGGCCGGUCCGCCUCACCGCGUGCACUGGUCCGGCCGGGCCUUUCCCUCUGUGGAACCCCAUACCCUUCACCGGGCGUGGCGGGGAAACAGGACAUUUACUUU
rnacentral:rRNA from 1 species